rnacentral:rRNA from 1 species
AAUCAGUUAAUAUUCUGAUACCACCAUUAUUUUCGAUGGGGUGACGGAGCAGUGAAAGUACCGCGUACUGACGGAAUAGUACGUUAAAGCGAGUAGGUAUAGAGACAGUAGGCAAAUCCGCUGACUCUGCUGAACGUAAUAGUACCACAAUGCUACGGCAGCGUGGAUAGUGUACCUAAGCAUACUUCCAAGAAAAACCUCUAAGGUUAUGAUAAUGGUGCCCGUACCGUAAACCGACACAGGUAGUCAAGGAGAGAAUCCUGAGGUGCUCGAGUGAUUCGUGGCUAAGGAACUAGGCAAAAUGACCCUGUAACUUCGGGAGAAGGGGUCCCAUGGCAACAUGGGCGCAGUGAAAAGAUCCAGGCGACUGUUUAUCAAAAACACAUGGCUGUGCGAAGUAGAAAUACGCGGUAUACAGCCUGACACCUGCCCGGUGCUGGAAGGUUAAGGGGGGGCGUUAUCUUCGGAGAAGCGCUGAACUGAAGCCCCAGUAAACGGCGGCCGUAACUAUAACGGUCCUAAGGUAGCGAAAUUCCUUGUCGGGUAAGUUCCGACCUGCACGAAUGGUGCAACGAUCUGGAUACUGUCUCGGCCACGAGCUCGGUGAAAUUGUAGUUCCGGUGAAGAUGCCGGAUACCCGCAACGGGACGGAAAGACCCCGUGAACCUUUACUAUAGCUUCACAUUGGCAUUGGGUAAAUAAUGUGUAGGAUAGGAGGGAGACUUUGAAGCAGUGUCGCUAGGCAUUGUGGAGUCGUUGGUGAAAUACCUCCCUUUAUUUAUCUGAUGCCUAACCCUUCAUAGGGGACAUUGUGUGGUGGGUAGUUUGACUGGGGUGGUCGCCUCCAAAAGAGUAACGGAGGCUUUCAAAGGUACCCUCAGCAUGUUUGGUAAUCAUGCGUGGAGCGCAAUAGCAUAAGGGUGCUUGACUGUGAGGCUUACAAGCCGAGCAGGGUCGAAAGACGGAUAUAGUGAUCCGGUGGUUCUGCAUGGAAGGGCCAUCGCUCAAAGGAUA